CCUACGGGAGGCAGCAGUGAGGAAUAUUGGUCAAUGGACGAAAGUCUGAACCAGCCAUGCCGCGUGCAGGAAGACGGCUCUAUGAGUUGUAAACUGCUUUUGUACGAGGGUAAACCUGAAUACGUGUAUUCAGCUGAAAGUACUGUACGAAUAAGGAUCGGCUAACUCCGUGCCAGCAGCCGCGGUAAUACGGAGGAUCCAAGCGUUAUCCGGAUUUAUUGGGUUUAAAGGGUGCGUAGGCGGAUGGAUAAGUUAGAGGUGAAAUGUCCGGGCUCAACUCGGGAACUGCCUCUGAUACUGUUGAGCUAGAGAGUAGAUGCGGUAGGCGGAAUGUAUGGUGUAGCGGUGAAAUGCUUAGAGAUCAUACAGAACACCGAUUGCGAAGGCAGCUUACCAAUCUAUAUCUGACGUUGAGGCACGAAAGCGUGGGGAGCAAACAGGAUUAGAUACCCUUGUAGUC
rnacentral:rRNA from 1 species